GGCCUAACACAUGCAAGUCGAGCGGAAACGACACUAACAAUCCUUCGGGUGCGUUAAUGGGUCUCGAGCGGCGGACGGGUGAGUAAUGCCUAGGAAAUUGCCUUGAUGUGGGGGAUAACCAUUGGAAACGAUGGCUAAUACCGCAUGAUGCCUACGGGCCAAAGAGGGGGACCUUCGGGCCUCUCGCGUCAAGAUAUGCCUAGGUGGGAUUAGCUAGUUGGUGAGGUAAUGGCUCACCAAGGCGACGAUCCCUAGCUGGUCUGAGAGGAUGAUCAGCCACACUGGAACUGAGACACGGUCCAGACUCCUACGGGAGGCAGCAGUGGGGAAUAUUGCACAAUGGGCGAAAGCCUGAUGCAGCCAUGCCGCGUGUAUGAAGAAGGCCUUCGGGUUGUAAAGUACUUUCAGUUGUGAGGAAGGGUGUGUAGUUAAUAGCUGCGCAUCUUGACGUUAGCAACAGAAGAAGCACCGGCUAACUCCGUGCCAGCAGCCGCGGUAAUACGGAGGGUGCGAGCGUUAAUCGGAAUUACUGGGCGUAAAGCGCAUGCAGGUGGUUCAUUAAGUCAGAUGUGAAAGCCCGGGGCUCAACCUCGGAACUGCAUUUGAAACUGGUGAACUAGAGUACUGUAGAGGGGGGUAGAAUUUCAGGUGUAGCGGUGAAAUGCGUAGAGAUCUGAAGGAAUACCAGUGGCGAAGGCGGCCCCCUGGACAGAUACUGACACUCAGAUGCGAAAGCGUGGGGAGCAAACAGGAU
rnacentral:rRNA from 1 species